rnacentral:piRNA from 1 species
UCCGCUGUGUGAUGGGCUCAUGUCCCUC